AAUAAGCAUCUUUUGUGUUUGUCCAAAAGUGCUAAAAACUUAAAUGCACCUUAUCUCUCCCUUCCAAUGCUCCAUUUCGGUUUCUCCACCAAGACAACCCUUCAAAACCUUUUCUUCACCAUACAUUAACGUGAAUACACCCCAAGGAACCAAGCAUCAACUUCAAAACAAGUCAUGAACAAUAAACCCAAACAUAUGCUACUUCAACCCAACCAAAUCUUCCAUUUCUUCAAGUUUCUUUGCAAAAACGAAAAUAAAUCCCAAGCCAUCAAUUCCAUCUCUGUCCAGCCACAAUAACAACCCCAAGAUCUGGUCCCAUCCUUGUUUCAAACAUCAAAACCGAAAAACAAGAAGAAAGAGUCCAAAUCACAACACCCACACAUCGACUUAAGCUCUCUUCAACCCAAAACUCACAUAGAACUCCAUUAUUAUCAUCCAACCAAGUAAAAUGCAAAGAAAAACCGUGAGAUACUGCAGCAAUGGAAGAGGAAAACGAAAAUAUAAAGUUACUCAAACCCAACAAUCACCAUGGAAAUGCAAAGACAAGCUCCAAAGCUCAAGCUUCAAACAUCAAGAACAAGCAAAUGGAAGUAGAAAUGAAUGGUUUUUCACCAAUAAUAAGCUAAGACAACCAAGAGCAAGUUAAGAGAAGAAGAAAAUCUGCAUCUCAUUCAUGGAAAAUGGCCAAAAUCCAAAGCACCAAGCAAGCU
rnacentral:lncRNA from 1 species